AUUGAACGCUGGCGGCAGGCUUAACACAUGCAAGUCGAGCGAGCGGCGGACGGGUGAGUAAUGUCUGGGAAACUGCCUGAUGGAGGGGGAUAACUACUGGAAACGGUAGCUAAUACCGCAUACCAUCAGAGGUGCCCAGAUGGGAUUAGCUAGUAGGUGGGGUAAUGGCUCACCUAGGCGACGAUCCCUAGCUGGUCUGAGAGGAUGACCAGCCACACUGGAACGGAGACACGCUCCAGACUCCUACGGGAGGGAGCAGGGGGGAAUAUUGCAAAAUGGGCGAAAGCCUGAGGCAGCCAUGCCGCGUGUGAGAAGAAGGCCUUCGGGUUGUAAAGCACUUUCAGCGAGGAGGCGUUACUCGCAGAAGAAGCACCGGCUAACUCCGUGCCAGCAGCCGCGGGAUAC
rnacentral:rRNA from 1 species